rnacentral:lncRNA from 1 species
UUUUAAGGUAUUUUAGGGGGUUCUUGGGGGAUGUUUUAGAGUUAUGUUCAUGUAUGUUUGGUCCCUCAUUUGAGUCCACCUGUGUAGGUUCGGACUCGAGGAACCGAGGACCCCAGCAGUGAGUCAGUCACUUCAGAGUCAGUAGAGCUUCAGCCAGAGGUGAGUGGAAUAACUCUUAUGCUUUUAAAUAAAUAAAUCAGUUUU